CACUGGAGAGGAGAGAUCCAGGGGUUGAGCACAGCAACUCUCUCUCUCUCUCUCUCUCUCAUUAUUUUCUUUAUCUCUCUCACCCCCCCCCCCCCCCCUUGCUCUUUUUCACUCUCUCUCUCACUCUCUUUCUGCUCUCAACAUGUUGGAGGCUCUGAGAAGAACCAGCAGAACCAUGCAGCUCAGGAACGUCAGCCGGUCCAGGGUCGUCCUGCAGAAUCGCAGCGGCAGCAUCUACAGCAAGCCACCCAAGACCAAGAUCGGACCUGGGCAAACGUUCUUCAUAAUGUCCGUGUUCGCGAUUGCUCUCCUUCUCCCGGCGGGAUGGAUCCUGCACCACCUCCCCGAAUACCGACACCGCCCUCCCGCUCCACCCUCCUGACCAGAGCACCCCGCUGCACGCUAACACCAACCCCAGCUGCCUGUGAAGAGCCAUUCACCUCCCUGAGACACAACCAGGUGGAGACACGCUUGGAAGGAAGCUUGAACAGGAGAGGAAGACUGCAUUAGCAGACUGCUAACGUCACUGCAGCGAAGGCUUACGUAGCACAGCUCUACGCUCCUCCCUGUAAUAAACCCCUGCUCUUUAAAAAUAAAUCUCCUGCACGUGUGUA
ensembl:lncRNA